rnacentral:rRNA from 1 species
GAUGAACGCUGACAGAAUGCUUAACACAUGCAAGUCAACUUGAAUUUGGGUUUUUACCUUAGGUUUGGGUGGCGGACGGGUGAGUAACGCGUAAAGAACUUGCCUCACAGCUAGGGACAACAUUUGGAAACGAAUGCUAAUACCUAAUAUUAUGAUAAUAGGGCAUCCUAUAAUUAUGAAAGCUAUAAGCGCUGUGAGAGAGCUUUGCGUCCCAUUAGCUAGUUGGAGAGGUAACGGCUCACCAAGGCGAUGAUGGGUAGCCGGCCUGAGAGGGUGAUCGGCCACAAGGGGACUGAGACACGGCCCUUACUCCUACGGGAGGCAGCAGCGGGGAAUAUUGGACAAUGGACCGAGAGUCUGAUCCAGCAAUUCUGUGUGCACGAUGAAGUUUUUCGGAAUGUAAAGUGCUUUCAGUUGGGAAGAAACAAAUGACGGUACCAACAGAAGAAGUGACGGCUAAAUACGUG